rnacentral:rRNA from 1 species
GCAAGUCGAACGGUAACAUUUCUAGCUUGCUAGAAGAUGACGAGUGGCGGACGGGUGAGUAAUACUUAGGGAUCUGCCCUUGGGUGGGGGAUAACCAUUGGAAACGAUGGCUAAUACCGCAUAACGUCUACGGACCAAAGGGGGCUUCGGCUCUCACCUGAGGAUGAACCUAAGCGAGAUUAGCUAGUUGGUGAGGUAAAGGCUCACCAAGGCGACGAUCUCUAGCUGUUCUGAGAGGAAGAUC